GGUGUCUACACCAGAGAUGUAAACUCUAUUGCUUAUUUAUGCCUUUUGGUAUUAAUGGUUCAACUAAGAGUUGAGUUUGCAUUUGGAAUGAAAGUGUUUUUAUUUUUGGCAAGUAAAAAUUGCCCCAUCUUUCCUUCUAUCGUUUUUUGUCUUCUUCCUUAUAUACAGUGUAAAUACGUGUUUGCCCUUGUUCUUGGAUGCUGCCACGUGGUUGAUCUCACUAAUCUCAGUCGCCUCCUUCAUUUCCUCCUCUUCGUUUUGUGUUUCUCCUUUUCUCUUUCCUCUCUUCUCGUCGAUGCUCUCAAACAACAUUCCUAACAAUGGCGAAUGAGCUUUUUUUACUUGAUGUACUCCUUCCGAAUCUCUUCACUCUCAGUUCGUCUUCUAUAUCCCUGGCAUGAUUCUCUCUUCUCUGAUUUUGUUAAAUUAGGGUUCUAUUUUUUGCUUGUAAUUGCUGAACUAGGGAUUUUUAUUUGAGUCGGCAAAUUCAUUUUAGAGUUUUUGUUGCAUGAAUUUGUUAAUUUUAUAGUUAUUUGGAUCAUUUUGAUUUGAAUAGAUACCACUUUUGUUCAAUUUUCUUCAUCUUUGAUUUCAAUUGCCUUUUUUCUAAUUUUGAUUGUAGCUGUUAAUUUACGUUGGAUGCUUGGGAGAUGAAUAAUCUUGCAAUUGCGAAAUCAAGGGCUUUUCCGUGUAUUUCUUCAGUGAAAGGCCAUUGGAUGCUACCAUGUUCAUCCUUUUGUUCAAGUAUUAUAGAUCAGUUGGAGAGCUUUGACGUGUAAUAUUGUAAAAAACUGAACUCAACAACAGUAUUUGGAAAUGGUCAAUAGGCUGUUUGCAGACUUCUUCUGUACAGUUUGUUUCUCUGUGUUUUCUGUUGUUGUGUAUUCUCUGCUGGAUGGUUUAUGCAGUUGCUGCUUGUGUUGCUGCUUUGUGUGGCCUCUGCUGUAAUCUGUUACCCUGUCUGAUGCUCGUUUGUUUUAAAGUUGGUUGUCUUCUUCUUUUUUUUUUUGUGUAUGUCAGUUAGGGAUGGAGUAAGUUAGGAAUGCGGGUUGUUCUCCCUUAGCCGAGGUCUUUGUUUCUAUGUUUUGGAUAUUACUUGUAUUUCGUCAUUUUGGUAAUAAAUUUUAUCUAUUUUAUCCAAAAAAAUACAGCUUGAUGUCAUUGUUUCCAUAUCUAAUUAUGUUCUUUUAGCAUUUUGAAAGAUAUUAUAUAUUUUCUUUUAUAACCUCAUUGUGUUAAUUCUAUUUUUACUUUUGUAAUUCCAGAAAGAAAUCAAAAUAUGAGGAAAUGAACUUCAUCUUUCCUUUUCCACAACAUCAAGGAGAUAUUUCUCUGUAAACUAAUCAGGAACUAUCAUGAUUGUUGGAGUAUGGAUCGCCACCAUGAUCUAAUAUGUUUGAAAUCAAGGGAGGUUUGACUAUUAUAAUAAGCAUCAGGGGGCAAGCUUUACAAAGUUUUGCGUCAGAAUAAGACAGGAUAUUUGGGUCUGUUAUCCUGGAACUGGUUUCCAGGUUGCAGCAGCUAUGACAAAAGUCCGAGAAUUAGGAGAAUAUGGCAGAUCCAGCGGCGAGGGUUUCUGCUCAAGUUGGUGCAUUGAGAAAUGGGGUUCUUUAACAAAAUCUAGCAAAAUACAGGGGUUCAAGAUGAAGAUUUAGUUUCUUUUGUGAAAAAGUGGCAGAAGGCAGGGGCUUCUCUAUUUGGCGAUUGUUGUAGAACUACAACAUAGACGAUAAAUGACAUUUACACGACUCUCUCAGAGCAUUCAGUGCCUCCGGGUUAACAAGUCAUUUACACUUUUGUCUUGUAAAUGACUAAUUAGGAAAUAUGAUCUAUGCUUGUGUAUUAUUGUUGUCUUAAUUAAUUCAUGCAAAUUUAUUUACGGAAGGGACCUUCUCGUUUUCUGUAACCUAUAAAUAAAGCAUUUGAAUA